UAUAGAAUAAAAGCUGUUGGUGCUCGCGAUGCUGUUCAGGCAUCGCAGUUCAACGGGAAGCAGGAGGGCGAGUCCCACACGGACGAACCUAACCUGCGCUGCCCCCGCAACGGUAAGCAGACGGGUGGUCCAAGGCAUUGCCAAGGCCCCCAUUUCUCAAAAUUUCGCCACUGGGUCACACCGGGAAGGCUUUGAGAAACGUUCUGUCAGCCCGGAUACCGGCCAACAAGGAGGCUGCGCCC
rnacentral:ncRNA from 45 species